CCUACGGGCGGCAGCAGUGGGGAAUAUUGCACAAUGGGGGAAACCCUGAUGCAGCGACGCCGCGUGAGUGAAGAAGUAUUUCGGUAUGUAAAGCUCUAUCAGCCGGGAAGAAAUAGCGACCUUUGGGUCGCCAGACGGUACCUGCUUAAGAAGCCCCGGCUAACUACGUGCCAGCAGCCGCGGUAAUACGUAGGGGGCAAGCGUUAUCCGGAUUUACUGGGGGUAAAGGGAGCGUAGACGGCAGCGCAAGUCUGAAGGGAAAUGCCGGGGCUUAAACCCGGAACUGCUUUUGAAACUGUGGAGCUAGAGUGCAGGAGAGGUAAGUGGAAUUCCUAGUGUAGCGGUGAAAUGUGUAGAUAUUAGGAGGAACACCAGUGGCGAAGGCGGCUUACUGGACUGUAACUGACGUUGAGGCUCGAAAGCGUGGGGAGCAAACAGGAUUAGAUACCCUUGUAGUC
rnacentral:rRNA from 1 species